GCCCUUAGAGUUUGAUCCUGGCUCAGAACGAACGCUGGCGGCGUGCUUAACACAUGCAAGUCCAACGUGAAAGGGGAGCAAUCCCCCGGUAGGGUGGCGAACGGGUGAGUAAGACAUGGGAAUCUGCCCUGGAGAUGGGGAUAUCCCUCCGAAAGGGGGGUUAAUACCGAAUACCGUCCGGGAUCCGAAGGGAUUUCGGGGAAAGGGAGGCCUCUGGCAACACGCUUCCGCUCCGGGAGGAGCCCAUGGCCCAUCAGCUAGUUGGCAGGGUAAUGGCCUACCAAGGCGAAGACGGGUAGCUGGUCUGAGAGGACGAUCAGCCACACUGGCACUGAGACACGGGCCAGACUCCUACGGGAGGCAGCAGUGAGGAAUUUUGCGCAAUGGGGGCAACCCUGACGCAGCAACGCCGCGUGUGGGAAGAAGGCUUUCGGGUUGUAAACCACUUUUGUGGAGGACGAAACCCCGGGGACGAACACGCCCUGGGGGUGACGGUACUUCACGAAUAAGCCACGGCUAACUCUGUGCCAGCAGCCGCGGUAAGACAGGGGUGGCAAGCGUUGUUCGGAGUGACUGGGCGUAAAGGGUCUGUAGGUGGUUUGUCAAGUCUUUGGUAAAAAGCCGUGGCUCAACCAUGGUGCGGCCAAGGAGACUGGGAGACUGGAGGCUGGGAGAGGGAAGCGGAAUUUCUGGUGUAGCGGUGAAAUGCGUAGAGAUCAGAAAGAAAGCCGGUGGCGAAAGCGGCUUCCUGGGAACAGACCUGACACUGAGAGACGAAAGCGUGGGGAGCAAACAGGAUUAGAUACCCUGGUAGUCCACGCCCUAAACGAUGGGAACUAAGUGUGGGGAGCAAUCCCCGUGCCGCAGCUAACGCAAUAAGUUCCCCGCCUGGGGAGUACGGCCGCAAGGUUGAAACUCAAAUGAAUUGACGGGGAAGGGC
rnacentral:rRNA from 1 species